UACGGAGGGUGCGAGCGUUGUCCGGAAUCAUUGGGCGUAAAGCGCGUGUAGGCGGCCCGGUAAGUCCGCUGUGAAAGUCGGGGGCUCAACCCUCGGAUGCCGGUGGAUACUGUCGGGCUAGAGUGCGGAAGAGGCGAGUGGAAUUCCUGGUGUAGCGGUGAAAUGCGCAGAUAUCAGGAGGAACACCAAUUGCGAAGGCAGCUCGCUGGGACGUGACUGACGCUGAGACGCGAAAGCGUGGGGAGCAAACAGG
rnacentral:rRNA from 1 species